AAAAAUUCCAGCUGUAAAAGGGAAUAAAAAGUCCUACAGCUGCUGUAUAGUUAAAGGGGAAUCGAUCUUUCCUGAGGUUGUAUCAACUAUUCCACAUAAAAUGGAUCAUUAGGGGUGUGUGUGUGUGUGUGUGUGUGUGUGUGUGUGUGGGAGAAGGGGAAAGAAGGGAGGUGCCUAGGUUAAAGUGAGGGAAAUGAGCAACAUUAUUAAGCAAUUAUGCUCCUGGUGUGCUGAUGAGCAUUUGAGAAGCUUCAGUUCCCUUCAGCUGCAUACUACCUAGUGCAGGUUAUGCUUCCUUAGCUAAUGGCCUUACUUGGUUUCAGGUGGUUUAUGUAGCCUCCAUAGUGCCCUGGUAGAGUUCCAUAUCAACUCACUUUUAGUGUAUAGAGGGGGGAUUGAAAUAGAUGUUGAAUGUGUAAAUUAAAAAAAAAUGAUUACAGUUAUGUUUAAAUGCAAAAUUUAUUGCAGUAAGAGACACAUUGCCACUAAUCCCCUCAGAUACUCCCCUCCACUUUUAACACACUUGUACAAUCCUUCUUGCCACUUUCUGAAGCAGUUCUGGGAAUCUGCUGUCACGUCUUUACAAGCUGCGAUCAAGUACACAGUGAAUGCUGUCGCCAAGAGCCAGCCAAUGGAAAGGGAGGUACGCUCAUGGGGUAUUCUCAUUGAAAGUUCAAUCAAUUAUGAACCAGAAAAUUCAGAUUUCUGGGGUUUCUUACCAAUAUCAUGCUAUAUUCGAAGAUCGUUUACAUUAAAGUAUGUGAAAAAGGAGGUGGCCCAUAGUAGUGGUGAGUCCAAAAAGUCAGCGAGAAAGAAGAGCACAACUUCACAUGAGGCAAAGAGCUCGGUGAGCCAGCCAGAACGGACGGUGAGCAAUAUUGCCCGACCACAUCCAUUUUCUCCCUCCCGAUUAAGUAUGGAAAUUUACCUGUGAAUUCUGGACGGAGAGGCAGCCACGCUAACCCCAGAACUGUGGCUCCUGAGGACCUGCCUGUUGGAGAAUGGAUAAAUGUCCCAUUUUAAAAUUUUCAUUUUAAAUUUUCUCUGCAGUCAGUAUUUAUGAACAUUUUGGGGUGUGUGUGUGUGUGUGUGUGUGUGUGUGUGUGGAGAGCUUCUUCAGAAUUUAAACGUAAUGAAGAUUCCAUUUUCUCCCUCCCGAUUAAGUAUGGAAAUUUACCUGUGAAUUCUGGACGGAGAGGCAGCCACGCUAACCCCAGAACUGUGGCUCCUGAGGACCUGCCUGUUGGAGAAUGGAUAAAUGUCCCAUUUUAAAAUUUUCAUUUUAAAUUUUCUCUGCAGUCAGUAUUUAUGAACAUUUUGGGGUGUGUGUGUGUGUGUGUGUGUGUGUGUUUGUGGAGAGCUUCUUCAGAAUUUAAACUUGUAAUGAAGAAUAUUUUAAAAUAAAG
rnacentral:lncRNA from 1 species